rnacentral:rRNA from 1 species
AUUGAACGCUGGCAGCAGGCCUAACACAUGCAAGUCGAGCGGUAACAGGAAGUAGCUUGCUACUUUGCUGACGAGCGGCGGACGGGUGAGUAAUGUCUGGGAAACUGCCUGAUGGAGGGGGAUAACUACUGGAAACGGUAGCUAAUACCGCAUAACGUCGCAAGACCAAAGUGGGGGACCUUCGGGCCUCAUGCCAUCAGAUGUGCCCAGAUGGGAUUAGCUAGUAGGUGGGGUAAUGGCUCACCUAGGCGACGAUCCCUAGCUGGUCUGAGAGGAUGACCAGCCACACUGGAACUGAGACACGGUCCAGACUCCUACGGGAGGCAGCAGUGGGGAAUAUUGCACAAUGGGCGCAAGCCUGAUGCAGCCAUGCCGCGUGUAUGAAGAAGGCCUUAGGGUUGUAAAGUACUUUCAGCGGGGAGGAAGGUGUUGAGGUUAAUAACCUCAGCAAUUGACGUUACCCGCAGAAGAAGCACCGGCUAACUCCGUGCCAGCAGCCGCAGUAA